UGGGUUGGCAAACCCCAGUACUGGAGAAGAAGUCAGUUUCACUUUGAUACACUCAAAAGCUGCUUGGCAAGCAGGGGUCCACCUCUCUGCAAAAGGCAUACUGGGGUUGAAAUACUUGCCACCACAAGAGACUUUACUUUGACCUUUCCUCAAUGGCGGAUAACCUCCUGUCAGGUCAUUUAAGGGUUUCACAGUCUUAGAAUAAUGUUCAAUAAAGCGGCGGUAGUAGCCGGCAAAUCCCAAGAACGAUCUAAGCUGUUUCAAGGUCUGCGGUACUGGCCAGGUUUUUAUGGCAGCAAUUUUUUCAGGGUCGGUCUCAACCCGAUCCUUUGAGACAAUGUGUCCCAAAUACCGCACUGAUGUCUGGAAAAAUUUGCAUUUUGAAGGAGAGAGCUUUAAGCCAUUUUCCCUCAACCGCUGAAGAACAUGCUGCAACCUUCUCUCAUGCUCUUCUAGGGAAUCUGAAAACACAAUCAAAUCAUCAAGGAAUACUAAAACCUCCCUGAGGUUAAUGUCCCCCAUGCACUUCUCCAUCAACCUCUGGAAAGUGCUGGGUGCAUUCGUUAUUCCUUGUGGCAUCCGGUUGAAUUCAUAAAACCCCAGAGGGCAGACAAAAGCAGUUUUUGGCUUGUCUUCCUCCUCCAUCUCAAUCUGAUAGUAACCAGAUUUCAAAUCCAUCACUGAAAACAAUUUUGACCCUGAGAGGGCUGAAAAAGUGUCUUCAAGGUUUGGGAGUGCAUAAGCAUCCCUUAUGGUCAGUGUGUUAAGUUUACGGUAGUCAAUACACAGGCGAACGUCGCCAUUCUUCUUUUUGACAACAACAAUAGGUGAAGAAUAAGGGGAUUCUGAUUCUCUUAUCACCCCAGCUUCCAAAAGCAUCUUAAGAUGUUUCUUCACCGCCUCAUAGUCAUUAGGAUGAAUGGGCCUUGAUCGCUGUUUAAAGGGCACCUCAUCCUUGAGCUUUAUUUUGUGCUUGACCUUUGUAGCAUGACCAAACUCAAGAUCGUGGCAUGAGAACACAUCAGAGUAAGUACGCAGACGGUGCACCACUCUUUCUUUCCAUUCCUCAGGUAACGGCGAGUCGCCAAAAUCGAAUGUUAACUCAGCCUCUUUAAGGUGACCAGAGGGUUGGGCAGAUGAGCUAUAGCACGCUGCAGUAACAGAGUCUGACACAGGGGAGUUCUUAAGGUCAAGAACUUGGUCAACUACAUGCAGAUCAGCAAUAGCACAGUUAGUUGGAAGAGUUAUAUCAUGCUCUGUCUCGUUUCUGACCCAUACAGGAAAUGUAUGAAAAUCACGAUCGGGCAACGUAACCAGGCAGCAGUCAACAAAGAUUCCACCAGGCUGAGUCAAGGAGGGUCAAGAAAUCCUCCGGCUUAGAGAAAGGACCCAGAUGUUUGACAAUGCUGGCAGCAGGAGGUGUAUUGAUCUGUUCUGGUGACAAGAAUGGCGUGGAGCUCUCAACAGCAACAGGUAAAACUGCAUGGUCUGCUUUGGG